CGGGUGAGUAACGCGUGAGGAACCUGCCUCAAAGAGGGGGACAACAGUUGGAAACGACUGCUAAUACCGCAUAAGCCCACGGCUCGGCAUCGAGCAGAGGGAAAAGGAGCAAUCCGCUUUGAGAUGGCCUCGCGUCCGAUUAGCUAGUUGGUGAGGUAAUGGCCCACCAAGGCGACGAUCGGUAGCCGGACUGAGAGGUUGACCGGCCACAUUGGGACUGAGAUACGGCCCAG
rnacentral:rRNA from 1 species